rnacentral:rRNA from 1 species
CCUGCAAAACGAAUCUAAGUUCCCCCUUAACCCUCUUUUUCCUCCCCAGACAAACCCAACCCAAAUGUGAUAGUUAAGGGCUAUUUAAAGGGGGUACAGCCCCUUUAAAAAAGGACACAACCUCCACCAGCGGAUAGCCCCUGUACGCCCAACCCCGUGGGCCUUAAAGCAGCCACCCCCAAAGAUUGCGUCAAAGCUCCAUCAACCAAAAACCCCCAAAACCAAUGCGACUCCCUACACCCACAGCAGGCCAACCUAUAACAAUAGAUGAAUCAAUGCUAGAACGAGUAACCAGGACACUAUGUCCCCCCAAGCGCCAGCCUGUACACCAUUAACAGUAAAACCUCAAUAAUAACCACCCCCACCAUUGAACCCACCCUGUCAACCCAACUCAGGGGCGCACACUGGAGUGAUCAAAAUCUACAAAAGGAACUCGGCAAACCUAAGACCCGACUGUUUACCAAAAACAUAGCCUUCAGCCAAACAAGUAUUGAAGG